CAAAUUAAAAUUUUGUUUCUGGUACAUGUACUGCAUGGUCAAAUCUUUCAGUUACCUUUUAUUUUUUGUAGGCACUUUCAGUUUACGCUGCAGAAUACCAAGAGAUGAGAUACUACUGCAUUUAAUAUCGUGUUCCUCUUACUAUUCAACAGAAUGUGGGAAACCAAGGCUGCUAUGAUAUAAUUGGCAUUUUCUUCUCACCCCACCCAGUGAAAUCCCCAAAUCUUCCAUAAGGGCAACCUGAGAAACACAGCCAAAUGGAAAUCACUUAAGAGUAGAAGCAGCAAAAGUGAUCCAGGUUGUCUUCAACAACAGAGGGUGUUAAGUCAGUGUCCCACCAUUUUCAAUCAUCUGCUCCAAGUCUGAAUUCCCAUGGACUACGUUUAGAGCUCUUGCUGUUUUUAAUGGUGCUCAAAACAAUACACAUUGCAUCUGUAA